GACGAACCGUGCGAACGUUGUUCGGAAUCACUGGGCUUAAAGGGCGCGUAGGCGGCUGGGCAAGUCGGGGGUGAAAUCUUUCGGCUCAACCGGAAAAGUGCCUUCGAUACUGCCUGGCUCGAGGGAGAUAGGGGCGGAUGGAACUUCCGGUGGAGCGGUGAAAUGCGUUGAUAUCGGAAGGAACGCCGGUGGCGAAAGCGAUCCGCUGGGUCUCUACUGACGCUGAGGCGCGAAAGCCAGGGGAG
rnacentral:rRNA from 1 species